AGGGGAGGCUGGAUCCUGGGCUGUGUCCCGGCGCCCUGUGCUCCGGGGUCUGCGCUGUUGCAUUCGCACUCCCGGCCUCGCAACCCCCU
rnacentral:pre_miRNA from 1 species